CAAGUUAUUUCUCAAGGAGAGUUAUUAUUUACAUUAAUAAUUUAGUUGUGCAAUUCAACUUAACUUGA
rnacentral:tRNA from 1 species